rnacentral:rRNA from 1 species
CCUACGGGAGGCAGCAGUGGGGAAUAUUGGGCAAUGGAGGAAACUCUGACCCAGCAAUGCCGCGUGAAUGAAGAAGGUCUUCGGAUUGUAAAGCUCUUUAGUCAGGGAAGAAUAAAUUGACGGUACCUGAAGAAUAAGCACUGGCUAACUACGUGCCAGCAGCCGCGGUAAUACGUAGGGAGCAAGCGUUGUUCGGAAUGACUGGGCGUAAAGGGUGCGUAGGCGGUUAUACCAGUUAGAAGUGAAAUACCCCGGGCUUAACUCGGGUGCCGCUUCUAAAACUGUAAGACUUGAGUGCAGUAGAGGUUAGUGGAAUUCCUAGUGUAGCGGUGGAAUGCAUAGAUAUUAGGAGGAACACCAGAGGCGAAGGCGGCUAACUGGACUGCAACUGACGCUGAGGCACGAAAGUGUGGGGAGCAAACAGGAUUAGAUACCCGUGUAGUC